UUAUCCAAGACUUGUAUCAUUUGAUGAUGCCAUGUGAAUCGCUAGAAACAUGUGAAGUGUAUGGCUAACCCAAUAACGAAAGUUUCGUAAGGGGACUGGAGCAGGCUACCAUGAGACAAAAGAUCCUCUUUCUAAAGAGAUUCGAUUCGGAACUCUUAUAUGUCCAAGGUCAAUAUGGAAAUUCUUUCAGAGGUUUUCCCUUACUUUGUCCGUGUCAACAAACAAUUCGAAAUACCUCGACUUUUUCAGAACAGGUCCGAGUCAAAUAGCAAUGAUUCGAAGCACUUCUUUUUCCAUUACACUAUUUCGGAAACCUAAGGACUCGAUCGUAUGGAUAUGGAAAAUACAGGAUUUCCGAUCCUAGCGGGAAAAGGAGGGAAACGGAUACUCAAUUUAAAGUGAGUAAACAGAAUUCCAUACUCGAUCUCAUAGAUCCCUAUAGAAUUCUGUGGAAAGCCGUAUUCGAUGAAAGUCGUAUGUACGGCUUGGAGGGAGAUCUUUCCUAUCUUUCGAGAUCCACCCUACAAUAUGGGGUCAAAAAGCCAAAAAAAUAAGUGAUUUUAGCCCUUAUAAAAAGAAAACGGAUUCUUGAACCUCUUUCACGCUCAUGUCACGUCGAGGUACUGCAGAAAAAAGAACUGCAAAAUCCGAUCCAAUUUUUCGUAAUCGAUUAAGUUAACAUGGUGGUUAACCGUAUUAUGAAAGACGGAAAAAAAUCAUUGGCUUAUCAAAUUCUCUAUCGAGCCGUGAAAAAGAUUCAACAAAAGACAGAAACAAAUCCACUAUUGGUUUUACGUCAAGCAAUACGUAGAGUAACUCCCAAUAUAGGAGUAAAAACAAGACGUAAUAAAAAAGGAUCGACGCGGAAAGUUCCGAUUGAAAUAGGAUCUAAACAAGGAAGAGCACUUGCCAUUCGUUGGUUAUUAGAAGCAUCCCAAAAGCGUCCGGGUCGAAAUAUGGCUUUCAAAUUAAGUUCCGAAUUAGUAGAUGCUGCCAAAGGGAGUGGGGGUGCCAUACGCAAAAAGGAAGCGACUCAUAGAAUGGCAGAGGCAAAUAGAGCUCUUGCACAUUUUCGUUAAUCCAUGAACAGAAUCUAUGUAUGUAGACACAUGGAUCCGUACAUCUCGAUCGGAAAAGAAUCAAUAGAAGGAGAAUCGGACGAUAUCUUUCUCGAAACAAACAAAAAGGAAAA